CGAAGAACCUUACCAGGGUUUGACAUCCUGCGAAUCCCUUGGAAACGAGGGAGUGCCUUCGGGAGCGCAGUGACAGGUGGUGCAUGGCUGUCGUCAGCUCGUGUCGUGAGAUGUAGGGUUAAGUCCCGCAACGAGCGCAACCCACGUCGUUAGUUGCCAGCAUUUAGUUGGGCACUCUAGCGAGACCGCCGGUGAUAAACCGGAGGAAGGUGUGGAUGACGUCAAGUCAUCAUGCCCCUUACAUCCUGGGCUACACACGUACUACAAUGCUACGGACAAAGGGCAGCAAACUCGCGAGAGCUAGCAAAUCCCAUAAACCGUGGCUCAGUUCAGAUCGUAGGCUGCAACUCGCCUACGUGAAGGAGGAAUCGCUAGUAAUCGCAGGUCAGCAUACUGCGGUGAAUACGUUCCCGGGCCUUGUACACACCGCCCGUCACACCAUGAAAGUUGCCAACGCCCGAAGUCGUUACUCCAACC
rnacentral:rRNA from 1 species